UACGGAAGGGGCAAGCGUUGUUCGGAAUCAUUGGGCGUAAAGGGCGCGUAGGUGGUUUUGUGUGUCUACCGUGAAAGCAUACAGCUCAACUGUAUUUUGUCGGUAGAAACUGCAGGACUUGAGGCUGGGAGGGGCUGGUGGAAUUCCCCGUGUAGCGGUGAAAUGCGUAGAGAUGGGGGAGAACACUCGUGGCGAAGGCGGCCAGCUAGACCAGUUCUGACACUGAGGCGCGACAGCGUGGGGAGCAAACAGG
rnacentral:rRNA from 1 species